rnacentral:rRNA from 1 species
CUGGUAUGACUGGUUUUACUGAUUCCUCCCUCUUGAAGAACUGUAAUGCCAUUAAUUUGGUGUUGCAGGGAAUCAGGACUGUUACUUUGAAAAAAUUAGAGUGUUUAAAGCAGGCUUUAGCUUGAAUACAUUAGCAUGGAAUAAUGAAAUAGGACGUUUGAUCCUAUUUUGUUGGUUUCUAGGAUUGACGUAAUGAUUAAUAGGGAUAGUUGGGGGCAUUAGUAUUCAAUUGUCAGAGGUGAAAUUCUUGGAUUUAUUGAAGACUAACUACUGCGAAAGCAUUUGCCAAGGAUGUUUUCAUUAAUCAAGAACGAAAGUUAGGGGAUCGAAGACGAUCAGAUACCGUCGUAGUCUUAACCAUAAACUAUGCCGACUAGGGAUCGGAUGAUGUUAAUUUUUUAAUGACUCAUUCGGCGCCUUACG